rnacentral:snoRNA from 1 species
UUGCAGUGAUCCGACUUGUGAAAUCUGUCAAUCCCCUGAGUGUGAUCAUUGAUGUCUCAAUGUCUCUGAGCAA